rnacentral:rRNA from 1 species
GACGAACGCUGGCGGCGUGCUUAACACAUGCAAGUCGAACGGAAAGGCCCUGCUUUUGUGGGGUGCUCGAGUGGCGAACGGGUGAGUAACACGUGAGUAACCUGCCCUUGACUUUGGGAUAACUUCAGGAAACUGGGGCUAAUACCGGAUAGGAGCUCCUGCUGCAUGGUGGGGGUUGGAAAGUUUCGGCGGUUGGGGAUGGACUCGCGGCUUAUAAGCUUGUUGGGGGGUAGUGGCUUACCAAGGCUUUGACGGGUAGCCGGCCUGAGAGGGUGACCGGCCACAUUGGGACUGAGAUACGGCCCAGACUCCUACGGGAGGCAGCAGUGGGGAAUAUUGCACAAUGGGCGGAAGCCUGAUGCAGCAACGCCGCGUGCGGGAUGACGGCCUUCGGGUUGUAAACCGCUUUCGCCUGUGACGAAGCGUGAGUGACGGUAAUGGGUAAAGAAGCACCGGCUAACUACGUG